rnacentral:rRNA from 1 species
CUAGACUGAUGAGUUGCGAACGGGUGAGUAACGCGUAGGUAACCUGCCUCAUAGCGGGGGAUAACUAUUGGAAACGAUAGCUAAUACCGCAUAAGAGUAAUUAACACAUGUUAGUUAUUUAAAAGGAGCAAUUGCUUCACUGUGAGAUGGACCUGCGUUGUAUUAGCUAGUUGGUGAGGUAAAGGCUCACCAAGGCGACGAUACAUAGCCGACCUGAGAGGGUGAUCGGCCACACUGGGACUGAGACACGGCCCAGACUCCUACGGGAGGCAGCAGUAGGGAAUCUUCGGCAAUGGACGGAAGUCUGACCGAGCAACGCCGCGUGAGUGAAGAAGGUUUUCGGAUCGUAAAGCUCUGUUGUUAGAGAAGAACGUUGGUAGGAGUGGAAAAUCUACCAAGUGACGGUAACUAACCAGAAAGGGACGGCUAACUACGUGCCAGCAGCCGCGGUAAUACGUAGGUCCCGAGCGUUGUCCGGAUUUAUUGGGCGUAAAGCGAGCGCAGGCGGUUCUUUAAGUCUGAAGUU